UCAAGCGAACAAGGGCGCAGGGCGAAUGCCUUGGCACUGGGAGCCGAUGAAAGACGUGAUAAGCUGCGAUAAGCUUCGGGGAGCUGCAAAUAAGCAUUGAUCCGGAGAUUUCUGAAUGAGGAAACUCACCUGGGUUCAUACUCAGGUACGUUAUACUGAACUUUAAAAUAGGUAUAUCGAGGGAACCGCCUGAACUGAAACAUCUAAGUAGGGCGAGGAAGAGACAUCAAACGAGAUUCCGUAAGUAGUGGCGAGCGAACGCGGAAGAGGGCAAACCGAGAGUAGAAAUACUUUCGGGGUACGGACUGCUUUUAGGACUCAAUCUGUUAACCGAACGGCAUGGGAAGGCCGGUCAGAGAGUGUGAGAACCACGUAGGUGAAAACGGAGAGAGCUGCGCAGAUUCCAGAGUACGGCCAGACACGUGAAACCUGGUCGGAAGAUGGGGGGACCACCCUCCAACCCUAAAUACUACCCAGUGACCGAUAGCGUAUAGUACUGUGAAGGAAAGGUGAAAAGCACCCCGGGAGGGGAGUGAAAAAGAACCUGAAACCCUGUGCCUACAAGCACCUAGAGCGCGUCAAUGCGUGAUAGGGUACUUUUUGUAGAACGGUCCGGCGAGCGAUUGUAUGCAGCAAGGUUAAGGACUUAAGGUCUGGAGCCGAAGCGAAAGCGAGUUUGAAAAGGGCGUUAAGUUGCAUAUAAUGGGCCCGAAACCGGGUGACCUACCCAUGGUCAGGUUGAAGUGGAAGUAAAAUUCCAUGGAGGACCGAACCGACCUCCGUUGAAAAGGCGGCGGAUGAACUGUGGGUAGCGGAGAAAUUCCAAUCGAACCCGGAGAUAGCUGGUUCUCCCCGAAAUAGUUUUAGGACUAGCCUCAAGUUAGAUACCUGGAGGUAAAGCACUGAAUAGCCUAGCGGCCGAGAGGUUAGCGAAGCUUAUCAAACUCAGAAUGCCAGAGUAUUGAUGCUUGGGAGUCAGACAGUGUCAGAUAAAUGUCAUUGUCAAAAGGGAAACAGCCCAGAUCUACAGCUAAGGUCCCAAAGUCAGGUUAAGUGGAAAACGAUGUGAAGAUACGCAGACAACCAGGAUGUUGGCUCAGAAGCAGCCACUCAUUCAAAGAGUGCGUAAUAGCUCACUGGUCGAGCGUCUUUGCGCGGAGAAUUUAACGGGGCUAAACCUGACACCGAAGCUUAGGCAAUCCAGCAAUGGAUUGGGUAGGGGAGCGUUGUAUACGCGGAGAAACAGUAGCGUAAGCGGCUGUGGAGUGUAUAGAAGUGAGAAUGCCGGAAUGAGUAGCGCGAAUGCAGUGAGAAUCUGCAUGGCCGAAAGCCUCAGGUUUUUGGAGGAAGGUUCGUCCGCUCCAAGUUAGUCGGGAGCUAAGGUGAGGCCGGAAGGCGUAGCCGAUGCACAGACGGUAGAGAUUCCGUCACCACCAAAAGAGUUAAGCACAGGGACACAUUUGAAGUCUCAGAGCCGGGUGUUGGUUCCGGUAGAGAUCGAGGGAAGUUAGUACCGAAGUCUGGGAUGGAAGAUGGCGAGAAAAGCUGUGUGUAUUUCUGAGGUGCCCGUACCGCAAACCGACACAGGUAGGUAGGAAGAAGAUUCUAAGGCCAACGGGAGAAGGGUUGUUAAGGAACUCGGCAAAUUGACCCCGUAACUUCGGGAGAAGGGGUGCUCCAGAGAUGGAGCCGCAGAGAAUCGGCCCAAGCAACUGUUUACCAAAAACACAGGUUUGUGCUAAAUCGAAAGAUGACGUAUACGAGCUGACGCCUGCCCGGUGCUGGAAGGUUAAGAGGAGAUGUGCAAGCAUUGAAUCGAAGCCCCAGUGAACGGCGGCCGUAACUAUAACGGUCCUAAGGUAGCGAAAUUCCUUGUCAGGUAAG
rnacentral:rRNA from 1 species